AGUAACAAGAGUUAGAGAGAUGGUUUGCCUAAAACAAUUGGUUCUGGUUCUCCUUGUUGCCUCCCUUGCAAUGUUCGCCGAGAGCCGGGUCUCACGGAUGGACCUCGGCUUGGAUCUUGGUGGCGGCGGGGGUUUGGGGUUAGGUCUGGGUACAGGUGUUAGUAUCGGCUUAGGAGGUGGCAGUGGCAGUGCUUCUGGUUCUGGCUCAGGGUCAGCAUCCGGUUCAGGUUCUGGUUCCGGAGCAGGCUCGUAUGCUGGCUCAGGUGCUGGAUCCUCUGCUGGGUCAGGAGCCGGCUCAGGUGCGGGAUCAUCUGCAGGAUCCGGUGCAGGCUCGGGAUCAGGUGCAGGCCAGGGGCAGGGCUCAGGUUCAGGACGCGGUGAGGGCUACGGUGAAGGUUCGGGAGAGGGCCAUGGACAGGGUUCCGGGUCCGGCUAUGGUGAAGGCCGUGGAUACGGUUCGGGCUAUGGUAGUGGCCAUGGCAAGUGAGAAUAUUAUUAGAUACCAGGUACUAUGAUAAGCACCAAUAUUUGGGUGUAUAAAUAAGGAGACGGUUAAGGAUAAUAUUGUUGGUGUGAUAUUGCUUUGCUCUACUCUUUGGCUUGUAAGUUAUUUACUAAUUUUCUAUCACUACAUGCAUACCCAUUUUGGGUGUGAAAAUAAGGAAAUGGUGAAGAAUAAUAUUGUUGUGUGGUCUUGCUUUG
rnacentral:misc_RNA from 1 species